rnacentral:rRNA from 1 species
AAUAGAUACCCUGGUAGUCCACCCCGUAAACGUUGGGACUAGUUGUGGGUCCAUUCCACGGAUUCCGUGACGCAGCUAACGCAUUAAGUUCCCCGCCUGGGGAGUACGGCCGCAAGGCUAAAACUCAAAGGAAUUGACGGGGACCCGCACAAGCGGCGGAGCAUGCGGAUUAAUUCGAUGCAACGCGAAGAACCUUACCAAGGCUUGACAUAUAGAGGAAACGGCUGGAAACAGUCGCCCCGCAAGGUCUCUAUACAGGUGGUGCAUGGUUGUCGUCAGCUCGUGUCGUGAGAUGUUGGGUUAAGUCCCGCAACGAGCGCAACCCUCGUUCUAUGUUGCCAGCACGUAAUGGUGGGAACUCAUGGGAUACUGCCGGGGUCAACUCGGAGGAAGGUGGGGAUGACGUCAAAUCAUCAUGCCCCUUAUGUCUUGGGCUUCACGCAUGCUACAAUGGCCGGUACAAAGGGCUGCAAUCCGUAAGGUGAGCGAAUCCCAAAAAGCCGGUCCAGUUCGGAUUGAGGUCUGCAACUCGACCUCAUGAACGG